UACGAAGGGGGCUAGCGUUGCUCGGAAUUACUGGGCGUAAAGCGCACGUAGGCGGAUUGUUAAGUCGGGGGUGAAAUCCUGGAGCUCAACUCCAGAACUGCCUUCGAUACUGGGAGUCUCGAGUUCGGGAGAGGUGAGUGGAACUGCGAGUGUAGAGGUGAAAUUCGUAGAUAUUCGCAAGAACACCAGUGGCGAAGGCGGCUCACUGGCCCGAUACUGACGCUGAUGUGCGAAAGCGUGGGGAGCAAACAGG
rnacentral:rRNA from 1 species